UUUUUAAAACAUAACAGCAUUAGUAUCUGAAGUUGAAUUCCCUUUGAUAAUAGAAUAUAAUCAUCAGUAAGUUGAAUUCUAUCCUAUCUUAAAAGAAAAAAAACACAAUUAAUAAUAGCCUUAGAGUUAAAGGCAAGAAAAAACCAUAGAAAAAAGUUGCAGGGAUGAUGGAGAGGGUACUGAGUAACAAAUGGAUGGCGACGGUGGCAAGCAUGUGGAUUCAGUGUAGCUGCGGUGUUUACACCUUCAGCGUCUACUCCUCUGUUCUGAAAUCAAGCCAAGGCUACGACCAAUCAACGCUCGAAACUAUGGCCGUUUUCAGAGACAUUGGAUCAAUCGGUGGUGUCCUAGCUGGGCUCCUCUACUCCGCCGUAACAAACGGUAGUAAUCACUCUGGUUUCGGUGGGCCAUGGGCGGUUCUCCUGGCCGGAGCAAGCCAGAAUUUCUUGGGCUAUUUUCUAACAUGGGCUUCUGUCGUGGGAUUAAUCAAACGGCCUCCGGUGCCUUUGAUGUGUCUCUUCAUGUACUUGUCGAGUCAAUCUAUGCCGUUCUUUAACACAGCCAAUACAGUUUCAGGUGUGCAAAACUUCCCUGAUUAUAGUGGGACCAUUGUGGGCAUAAUGAAGGGAUUUUCUGGGAUUAGUGGAGCAAUACUAAUCCGUGCAUAUAACACAUUCUACGAGGGCGAGCCGAGUAAAUUCCUUCUAAUGCUUGCUCUGUUGCCUACACUCAUCUCCCUUGUGCUUAUGCUCUUGGUAAAAAUUUAUAAAACAAACACAGGUGAUGACAAGAAGCACUUGAAUGGUUUCUUUGCUGUUGCUCUGAUCAUUGCUGGUUAUCUCAUGAUUAUAAUAAUUUUGGAAAAUAUCUUCACUUUUCCAUUAUGGGCACACAGAGUCACCUUUAUACUUCUCUUGCUUCUACUCGCAUCGCCAAUUGGAAUUUCAAUCAGAGCCCAGAAUGAGGACUCCAAGAGAGUUCUAGAAACGCUUUCCUUUGACAGUAAUCCAUUAAGAGGACACCCUGAGUUACUGCGAUCCUCCUCUGACUCCUCUGUACCCGAGGAUAUGGCAUACCAUGAACUGCCUAGUGUUGCUCUAGAUGACAAAAUUCUGUUUGAUGAAGUAGGCAUGAAUCUUUUGCAAGCCAUGUGCUCUGUAAACUUUUGGUUGUUGUUUAUUGCGAUGAUAUGUGGAAUGGGCUCUACAGUGGCUGUGAUAAACAACUUGAGCCAAAUGGGACAAUCUCUCAAUUACACUAGUGUGGAGGUGAAUAAUUUGGUCUCUUUAUGGAGUAUAUGGGAUUGUCUUGGCCGUGUUGGAGCUGGUUAUUUGUCAGAUUAUUUACUACACACAAGAGGCUGGGCAAGACCAUUGUUGAUGGCUAUUACUCUAGCAACAAUGAUUAUUGGCCUCAUCGUUAUUGCUUCUGGAUUUCCUAGAAUAUUAUAUGUGGGUUCUAUCCUAAUAGGCAUUUGUGAUGGUUCUCUGUGGUCAUUAAUUCCCACAAUUACUUCGGAUAUAUUUGGUGUUAGGCAUAUGGGUACUAUUUUCGGCGCUAUUACCCUAGCAUCUUCUGUUGGAUCUUAUAUUUUCUCUGUCAAACUUAUGGGCUAUAUUUACGAUAAGGAAGCAGGUGGUGAUGAUCACUCAUGCUUUGGCACUCGUUGCUUUAUGUUAUCUCUUUUAAUCAUGGCAUCCUUGGCUCUUCUGGGGUUUCUUUUGGCCAUUGCAUUAUUCAUUCGUACUAAGAGGUUCUAUUCGCUGAGGAGAUUAAAGGACUCUGUUAAAUGAUGGAGUAAAUAACUAUAUAUGCAAACUUUGUGUAUAAGGUCAUGGCUGAGGCCAUCCUUGUUUUUUCUUGCAUUACAGGAGAUUAUGUAGGACUCUCAUCAGUUGGUGCAUGGUGAAGCACCCUAACUUUUGUUAGGAUGAGAUAAUGGCUUGGGGUGAAAGACAUGCCAAAGGUAAGAGCCUUAGAUCCAAUGUAUUCCACUUAGCCUUGUGGUCUGUUGUAUAUCACAUUUGGCAGUAGGGAAUGUAAUGUUUCACCAAGGGAGAAUUUAUGUUGAAGAAAAUAUCCUUCACUUGAUCAAGUGGGAAGUUAGAAGGAAAGUUGAAGGGAAUGACUAUUUUACUAAUUCUAUCUAAAACAGAAUCUUGUGAUGUAUAUGGGGAAUUUCUUUAGAUGUUCUUUAAUCAGUUGAAUUUUGUGAUGUGCAUGGGGAAUUUUGUGAUGUUCUUUAAUUCCUUUCCCUUGUUGUGGCCAAGUGAUUGUCUCCCUUGUAUAUGAGUUAAUUUUAGAGUUUA